UACGUAGGGGGCUAGCGUUGUCCGGAAUCAUUGGGCGUAAAGAGCUCGUAGGCGGUCCGUCACGUCCGCUGUGAAAACCCAGGGCUCAACCCUGGGCUUGCAGUGGAUACGGGCAGACUAGAGGUAGGUAGGGGAGAAUGGAAUUCCCGGUGUAGCGGUGAAAUGCGCAGAUAUCAGGAGGAACACCGGUGGCGAAGGCGCCACUCUGGGCCGGUACUGACGCUGAGGAGCGAAAGCGUGGGGAGCAAACAGG
rnacentral:rRNA from 1 species